AACGUUGUUAUGAAUGCUUGGCUGCCACAAACUAGUUAUCCCUGUGGUAACUUUUUUGACACCUCUAGCUUCAAAUUUCAAAGGUCUGAAGGAUCAUUAGGCCACACUUUCACGGUUUGUAUUUGUACUAUAAAUUAGAAUCAAACGAGCUUUUACUCUUUUGUUCCACACGAAAUUUUUGUUCUCGUUGAACUCAUCUUAGGACACCUGCAUUAUCUUUUGACAAAUGUGUCGCCUCAGCGAAACUCCUCAUCGACGAUGUCUUUAGCUCGAAUUAGCCCGCGAAGUGAGCCUUGGGUCCAAAAAGAGGGGUAGUGCCCCACCUCCAAUUUACGAAAUAAGUAAAAUAAUGUUAAAAGUGGUGGUAUUUUACUUUCGCCUUUUGGCUUCCACUUAUCCUACACCUCUGAAGUCAUUUCACAAAGUCGGACUAGAGUUAAGCUCAAUAGGGUCUUCUUUCCCUGCUGAUUCUGCCAAGCUUGUUCCCUUGGCUGUGGUUUCACUAGAUAGUAGAUAGGGAUAGUGGGAAUCUUGUUAAUCCAGUUAUGUGCAUCACUAAUUAGAUGAUGACGCAUUUGGCUACCUUAAGAGAGUCAUAGUUACUCCAGUCGUUUACCCGCGCUUGGUUGAAUUUCUUCACUUUAACAUUUAGAGCACUAGGCAAAAAUCACAUUGCGUGAGCAUUCACAGGGACCAUUGCAAUGCUUUGUUUUAAUUAAACAAUUGAAUUUUCCUUGUCCAUACUAGUUCUGAGUUGACUGGUUGACGCCUGAGAAAGGUCCUCGAAGUAG
rnacentral:lncRNA from 1 species